GACAUCUGGCAGCAGCUGUGGUCAGGGAGCACACAGAGCCCCUGGCUGGGAGCUGUUGGCUCUGUCCCCUCCAUCCCAGAUUGCAGAUAAUACAUCAUAAGAAUAAAAUCUAACAAAGGAGGUCAUGAUAUGUAGGAUUAUGAAGAGAAUGAGGAAAGCACAGGUAAAGGGACAGAGAGCAGAGCCAGCCUUGGUAAGGAGACUGAACCAGAGAGGAGAUGCCAUGUCAGCAGUGCAUGGAGCACCACAAGGAAGCACUCUGUUCCCAACCUGCUCCUGGAGCCAUGGGAGAAGCUGUUCCCCAGCCCUCGGUGUGUGAUGGAUGCUCUCGGGAGGCUGCAGUGAGAUACAGCACCCCUGAGGCUGAGAAAACUGCCAGGUAAAGCUGAGGAGUUCAGGAAACAGGAUAUCCAUCCAUUCUAUGGAAUGGACCACAAAGGAGAAACUGCCUUGCAUUAAAUCAGCUGCUGGUUUUCUGAAGAGGAAGAAGCAGCAGAGGGACUGAAGUACUGCUGUAAUAGUGGAGAUUUCUUUGAAAUCCAUCUGUUGCUGCUCAGGGGAAAAUCCAGAGUGCUGCAUUCUGCAAGAGCAAAUCAAGUUGUUUUCUGAGAGAGGGGGUGAAAGGGAUGCCUGGAUUUCAAAGUUUUUUCCUACUGAGCAAAACCUGUGAUGGUUCUUGUGUCUCACCUACUCCUGCUGGCCAAAGGGAGUUUGUUCCUCCAGGUGACCAAUGCAGGACUGGAACUCAGAUAUUGCUUUGCAAUGCCUGCAGAGACCACCACAUUUUCUGAAACUCCCCAUUUACAACUCCCUAGUUAAAAUUAGCUAUAUGCUAAUUCGUCCUUUAAAAAUUAGCAGCUCCGUGCAAAUUGAAAACAGAUGUCUGUGUCUCCAGUCAGUGCUAGUUAGUUGAGGCACUCCUUCCUCACACAACCUGCUGCUCCUUGUCCCCAGAGCCACAGCCCCAGUGCCUCACACACACCUCUGGAGCUUGCCAGUGAUCAUUUCUGGCAUUUUAUUAUUGUUUUCUUUAGUGAGGUGCCAGACUCUGGGGAUUUGAAAUGCUGGGCCUGAAGCCAAUCCUCUGGGCUUUUUGAAAUUUGCUUGUAAGCAGUGUAAACCUCAGGCCACUGCUGUGGCCAGGUGACAGAUUCUGCCUCUUGGCUGGGAGCAGCUCUCAGUGGAUGUGUUGCUGGGACAGAGCGUGCAUGUAAAUGGAGCUGCUGGCAGUGAGGAUGAGCACUGACACUGCCUGAAAAUGCUUGAUGCUGUGGGGUCAGUGAUGCAGGCAGAACCAACUUUUCCUGAGUUAUUUCAUCACUGAAAGUCCACACUUUCAGCCUGCACACUUUUAAUUCUUUAUUAAAGUGCUGCACUGGUUUUAAGUGGGACAUUUGAAAUGGCUUUACAAAGGUCCUUGCUGAGCAGUACCUGCAGUGCUGCUUCGUUACUGCCCAUAACACCCCAGUGAAUCUCAGUACCUGCAGAAAAAUGACAACAAUUCUCCUUUGCAGAGUGUCGGCUGCAAGGGGGGAAAAGCAAGCUUAGUGGAAAUAUAAAUAAUAGAUUCUAAUAGUCACAGCUGUUCAUAAAUAAGAAGAUCUAUACAAACACAGUCUAGUGGAACAGGCACAUUUCUCUCCAAGACUGACUUGCUGCAUGAUUUUGAAGGAAACACUUUGUCACUUUUUGGCUCAGCUUCCAAAUAUGAAAUAUACACUGAUAGGAUUCUUGCCACCCAAUGUAAAUAAAAUGCUUUGAGAACAUGAAUACA
ensembl:lncRNA